rnacentral:misc_RNA from 1 species
AGUUAUCAAAGUUACAAUGUCUGUGAUAGUUUCGUAUUAUACUAUAACAUCUCCAUCCAUUAUUAUGAAGUACCUAUUCCUAGUAGCUGUUCAUUUAUUCAGUUGCCUUUGACAUCAAAUACAGAAGCAAAAGAAAAUGGAAGUGGCUUAUUUCAUCUGUUAACUGAUGAAGUUAUACUAGGAUGGACUGUGUCUGAUGAGUGUAAUCAGUGU